ACCCCACUGCUAUCGGGAUAGGACUAAGACAUGCUAGUCGAGCGCUUUCGAGCCAUGUUGAGAGCGCGGCACACAGCUCAGUAACACGUGGCUAAUCUGCCCUUAGGACGAGAACAACCCCGGGAAACUGGGGCUAAUUCUCGAUAGGCGAAGAACUCUGGAAUGAGUCUUUACCUAAAUAGUGCAACGUUAUCCUCGUUGCAUCGCCUAAGGAUGAGGCCGCGACCGAUCAGGUUGUUGGUGAGGUAAUGGCUCACCAAGCCUUUUACCGGUGCGGGCCGUGAGAGCGGGAGCCCGGAGAUGGGCACUGAGACAAGGGCCCAGGCCCUACGGGGCGCAGCAGUCGCGAAAACUUUGCAAUAAGCGAAAGCUUGACAGGGCUAUCCCAAGUGCCAUCCGCUGAGGAAGGCUUUUACCCAGUCUAGAACGCUGGGGGAAUAAGGAGAGGGCAAGUCUGGUGUCAGCCGCCGCGGUAAUACCAGCUCUCCGAGUGGUGUGGAUGUUUAUUGGGCCUAAAGCAUCCGUAGCUGGCUGAGUUAGUCCCUUGUUAAAUCCACCGAAUUAAUCGUUGGAUUGCGGGGGAUACUGCUCGGCUAGGGGACGAGAGAGGCAGACGGUAUUUCCGGGGUAGGGGUGAAAUCCUAUAAUCCCGGGAAGACCACCAGUGGCGAAGGCUGUCUGCUAGAACGCGCCCGACGGUGAGGGAUGAAAGCUGGGGGAGCGAACCGGAUUAGAUACCCGGGUAGUCCCAGCUGUAAACGAUGCAGGCUAGGUGUUUGGACGGCCACGUGCCGUUCUAGUGCCGCAGGGAAGCUGUUAAGCCUGCCGCCUGGGGAGUACGAUCGCAAGAUUGAAACUUAAAGGAAU
rnacentral:rRNA from 1 species